AACUUGGUUGUGGGUCCCGCACGAACCCACAGCCAAGCACUAUUCAUGUGAGGGCUGUACCUUACAGAAUCUGUAAGGUAGCCCUCUCCCUUGUCCGUCUAUAUGUAUAUAGAAAUCAGGUCGUGAAAAAUGCCGUCGACGAGUACGUGGAGUUUAAAAGAGUAGACAUUGGGAGAAACGUAUAUGGGUACGAGAGAAUGAGCGGAGGGCAUUUGCCUAGCCUACGUGGAACGAUAAACAUUCGCAACUGGUACGGGGUCAACGUCGGCCAGCAGGUCAGGUACGCGAGUGGUAGCGAUCAAUUGAUGUGGCGCACACAACAAACAGAACACAGUUAAUGGAUUUUCAAUUGGUUACGCUGCUCAUUUCAUUGUUGGAAUUUGGAAGCUAGUUCGUUUCCCAUCUUUCCCUGUCCAAGCGCCAAGCUGACAUGCAGACCCACAAGAAAUAGAAUCAUUUACGUUGGGGGGGGGGGGGGGGGGGGUCUUUAUUUUACACAUAAAAGAAGAAAGCAGCCGACAAAACAAGGGAAAUUUUGAAAGCCCUAGACUGAUUUUGCAAUUUUUGUUGUUUCAUUUGAUUGUACCUCCUAAAUCGAAGUUAAAACCGAUGACCCAUUAUUCACGUUUUCCUUUCCGAUUUAAUUAAUGUAUCUAAAUUAUUUGCUAUUACAUCAUGCAUGGUGUGCAUAUAUAUCUAUAUAUAUAUAUAUAUAUAUAUAUAUGAUGACGGAUAACCACCUUAUAUUAAUUUGAUUUAUGGUUUAGUAAUAAACGACCGACAAAAUUUGUGUUAGCAAUCUAAUGAAUUUACUUCGUUUUUGGUAGUUUGGCAAACGUUACUUUAGAUUAUAUUGAUGACGAUGGUGUAGCUAGAUAGCUAUGUUUAGGAGGGAGGCAUUCAACGGUUAGCAGUCAGUCCUGUUAAUAAUUAAGCAGCUAGAUAAUUGUGAGUUUUUCUUAUCCCUACUCAUUAAUGGAUACUCUCUAUAGUUAACAGCCAGACUUUUGAAUAUCAACAAGACAAUAACUCACCGCAUAUACGAAUCCAAAUUCGCUCAUUAAAUCUCCUUUCGAUGAUUGAUGUAGUCAUUGUUAAAUCUAGCACAGGCACAUGCUGUGCAUCCACGUGUGGCCACACGCUCUGAGAGAGACUGCCUGAAAGUGAAAUAUUUCUUCAGAAUCAAUUAAUUCUAGAUAGCCGAUACCGACUCAAUUAUGCCAAAUUAAUUCAAGUCCUCAUCGCAAAACGAAAACUGCUUUCCACAGUAAGUUGAUCCAGAUAGCCUAAGAAAUUAUUUGGUUUUAUUUUUCACAGAAUAGCCUAUGUGGAUUUAUAAGGAUUCAGGGUCUGGUAUUAUAAAAUAAACAUGUAAAAAAUAAAUCAUAUAACUACAUAUUUUGUGAGCAAUGUGGUCUAAAAAUUACAACUAAUACUUUUGAGUUACUUUAUAGUAAAUUGUAGCGGUAGCAAUAAAGAAUUAGACUCCGUUUGAUAUAAUUUUUCAAAUAUAAUUUAUUUAAAUAGAAUCUUCAUUAGUAGAGAUUUUACCAAAAUAAUUUUAAUUAUUUAAUUGUCAAUGAGAACUUUGAUUAAAAAUUGUUAAAUUACUUUGAUGUUAAUUUUUUAAAGUUAUGUUAUGAAAGAAAUGAAAUAAAAUUAUUAAAUAAGUAAAAGAUAUUUUAAAUAUUUUAAUAUUUUAAAAAAACUUUUCAAUCCCUACUCCUAAAAACCCAAAAUUUAAACUUUUGCCUGCAAAGAUAAAUAGUUUAUUUAGUCUUCAAAAACUCUGCUGAAAAAACAACCAACAAUAACAAAAAUCUUGAAAAGAACUUAUGAAAUUAAAUAAAUAUUUUUUACCAUUAGAUAAACCAUAUUAAAAAAGCACUUAAUCCCACAGCAGGAGUAGAAAGAAAGAAAUGAUUUUAACAAAACCAAAUAUUAUCAUGUCGCAUUGAUCAACCCAAGUCACCAAGACACCAUGUAAAUUCAAAAAUUGAGUGGAUAAGAAUCAUAUAUCUUAAUCUCCAAUUCUCCAUUAUUACUCUGGACAUGUCUAUGGUACAGAUUCUGUACCUAACAUCUCCCGUCAUCCCACCGUCCCAUUUUCUAUGGUUUAAUUUCUCACUCCACAUCCAACCUCAUCCAACGGCUGAUGCUGCAGUCUGUAGCUUACAGAUUCUGUAAGCUAGUUGAGUCCUAUUACACUAUUUUGAAAUUGCGGCUUCAAAAAUAUAUUGCCCAGCACUUUAAAUGUACCAUCUAAUUAACAACUCUGUAGAUGCUUCCCAUUUGUAGUUACCACCGGCUACGUAACAUUUGAAAAUAUUUUUGUGGCUAAUAAUGAAUUCAGAUGACUAUGAGCAAGGAGUCAUCUAGAAGUUUGAAGAUUGUCAAUGUCAUAUUAUGCAACAUGUGUAAUUUUACGACAUGUACGCUGUUAAGAAACUUAAUUAUAAGCAUUGGAUUUAAACAAAGUAUAGCUUAAUUAAUGCACCAAGGAAAGUAGUCGUAUACACUCACAAACUACUCGAUAGGCUGACACUUGUUAUUUACGAUAGAGGUAUUGUGAUAAGAUAAAAAAGACAAUAUUUGUAAGCAUUAUCUACUUCGCAAUUCCAGGACCACACGACUGAGAUAGAAGAUUAAGAAUCUUGACUGCAAUUAGUUGUAAUUAGUAUCAGUCAUCAUUAUUAUAUUGUCCCACUUUUUCCAUUGUAGUUGCCAUCUGUUUUGUCUAAUCUAUGAUUAUCCUGCAUUAUAGAGAUGUGCAAAAUAGGAGCUAAUAAGUUAAUCAGAGCUGUAGAUAAACAGAAGAUGUGAAUUACUAAAUGAGUUCACUUCUGUUAUCACCAAUUAUUACUUAUUUUGGAUUCUCAAAGUUACUAGCAUAAAUUCAAACAAUGCUCUACGUAUUGCAGCAACAUAAUUCAGAACAACGAUGCGAAAAUUCUGACUGUACAAUGUAACUAUUGAAGCAGAGAGAAACACUGUAAUGGGCAGAAAGCAGCUACAAAGAUACCUCUGAAGAAUAUAUGAAGAUCUGGACUACGAUCACUGCAGUGUUCCAUCAUGCAAGUUAACUCAAGGCACAUCAUGAAGAAAUAUAUAAACCCACAUGGAAACAUACGAUGAGAAGAUCACAAGAAGCAGUGAAAGGUUUCUCUUAAAGACCAAGGAGAUUUGUUUAAUUUUGUGAAUUAAUAGGUUUCAUAGUUCUAAUAUUUGAUAUAUGAAGUCUUAAGAAUUUGUUGACCACUUGUAAGAGUUGAUUCAGUCUCUUAUAAUUAAGUGAUCUCAUGUUCCUUCAGUAAUCAAUCAAAAAGAACGAUGACUUCAAACAUUUUUUUCAACAUAUAAAUUUCUCCAUUCAACUAAAGUCUUUUAUCUUUAGAAAAAAUUCUAACUAGUAUUGGUCACUGUACAUCUUAAUAAAGCAUAACCUCCUUUGCAAAAGUGAUAAAAAAAGAGUAGAAAAUAUCCAAUCUCAAACCUGCAAUCAAUCCCUAAUAAGAUUUUCUCAUACGAUCAUAACCAUUUUUUUUUUUUUUUUUGGGUUCUUGUACACAGGACAUGAAGUUGUACAACAAAAGUUUAAAGAAAACGAGAGUUAGCCAAUUAUGAACAUUAGGAUUUGAGCUUGUUUCCAGCAAUGUCACAUCACAUUCCGGUGGUUGAUCAAGCCCAAGUAAUACUAGAACUUCGUUGAGCUAAUUGCUUCCAAUAAUCAAGUCCUACAAAAUUAUAUGUAUUCUAAUCUCAUGUAGUAAAACAUCUCUGUAACUGACAAUUUGAAAUUUAUCUUGAUAAAUUUGGCUCUUACAAAAUAAACCUGAUCUUUUUCCAAAUGGAUUACAUUUUGACUAUCACAAAACACUGUCAUAACCUCUCAGAAAUGUUGAAUUUAUUAACUAUAAUAUAAAACAAGUAGGUUUCCUUCAUAAGUAAGGUCUUUGCCAUCCAUGACAAAGACACAGAAGAAUAUGACAUCGACCUUUCUCCACAGAAUCCCAGUUAGUAUAGACAUAAGAUUGUGCCCGAUAUACUUUUAUUAAAGACAGCAUAUGAUCUGAAUCUACAAAGCCAAUAACCUUCACAUGAGAUUCUUAAACAUUGUUCAUCUUAUACAUCAAUACUAAAUUUGGAGUACCAGAGCAUGCCAAUUGGGGAUUUGUCGGGAUGAUGUUUUAAGACAUUCCUAGUACUGUUUAUCUGAAGCAAAACUUGGAUCAUCAAGCCCAUACAUUCAAGCUUUUAAUUUCCAAAAAGCAGUCAUUUUUAACUCAACUUUCUAAGACUGUAUAGAAUCUUUAAAUUUCCAUUUUGAAUGGAACCCACUGUUCUGCAAUAGAAACUCUCGAGAGAUUGACUCAAAGUCUGAAGCAAAAGAAUGUAUGAGAAGAAUAAAGUCAUUAGCUACCCAAUCACCAUUUAAAAUUGGAACAGGAACAGGAACAGGAACCAGAACCAGCAACUACACCUAAAUAUAAAUGCAAUUCAGUAUGAAGCAGAUCAAAAUUAGUACAAGACAUAAAAUUUGACACGCUUGGGUUAGAAAUUCAUAACUCAACCCAAAACCUUCCAAAGGAAAUCCCUCGAGUUUAAACACGAUCAUAGGAAAUACAAAUAAAAUUCGAAAGUUGGGCUUGCCAUAAAAAUAGUAAGCUUACCUCUACUCUCUAGAGAACCGUCUGCUGUGGCUGAUUUGGCCAACGGCUAGUUCUUUCCCGCCUGCCUUUUCUCUUCUGCUCUAAAGUCGGGGGGAAGUUUACCGCAGACGGUUUUCAUCGUACAGUUUGUUAAGUGAUGGAUUUUUUUUGGGCCGUAAUGGGCCAGAGAACCGCACCCAACUGCAUUGUUUGAAAGAUUGUACUGUAUACUACUUGAAAACUGCACAGUAUCAGUAGGGACGGAGAUUGCCGCUUCCAAUUUU
rnacentral:lncRNA from 1 species